UACGUAGGGGGCUAGCGUUGUCCGGAAUCAUUGGGCGUAAAGCGCGUGUAGGCGGUCCGGUAAGUCCGCUGUGAAAGUCGGGGGCUCAACCCUCGGAUGCCGGUGGAUACUGUCGGGCUUGAGUACGGAAGAGGCGAGUGGAAUUCCGUGGUGUAGCGGUGAAAUGCGCAGAUAUCAGGAGGAACACCAAUGCGAAGGCAGCUCGCUGGGACGUUACUGACGCUGAGACGCGAAAGCGUGGGGAGCAAACAGG
rnacentral:rRNA from 1 species